CCCUUACCCUUACCCUUACACCCCUCGUGCCCACACAUGUACAUCAUCGCCACCAACGUCCUUUUCUAGUGGAUCCCCGCGGUAUAGAAGACGCAGCAACUGCAGCCCGCAGCUCUUCCUGCCACUUCCACCUACCGGGCCUCUCCUAUCGGCCGCUCGCUCGCCCUCUCCCUCUCUUUCUCUCUCUUUCCUUCUCUCUCGUGUCGUCACCGCGUGCUUGUGCGUGAGCGUUCCCGUGGUUGGGGUUGUGACCUCUUGCUCAGCUGACGCAUGCGCGCAUGUGUUGUGUCGCUUGCCUCCCCCCCCCUCCCCCCUCUUUACGUCUUUAUUUUUUUUUUUGUUAUUUUGCUCUCUUCUUACUUUCGCUUGGUUCGUCAUUCAUCCUCAUCCGUCACAGACUUGUAUCUGCUGCUUCCGCUUCCGCCUCCGCUGCUAAUUUUGUGGUUGCUUGCCUGUUGUAUGCCUCCUACUCCCGUCUUUCCUCUCCGCCUCUUUCCUUCUCAUUCUUGUUCGGUGUACAUCUUCCAUCGUCACCUUGUGUUGCGUGCGCAAUACCUCCGGCCGUCGCGGCCUUAGUUGUUGCAUUUUGUUGUAGAAUGCGGGCAGGAAGGUGUGUGUGUGUGCGCGCGCGUGCAUGCCGGCUUGAUGCCGCGACCAUCUCCGUCCUUGCCCAGCGAUAUAGUAGCACCACCAGCGGCGGCCUCCACGUCCUUGUCGACCUCGCAGGGGGCGGCGUUCGGCAGCGCGUGUGGCGAUGCCGACGAGUGCAGCAGUCGGCGAGUCGGCAUCGGCACAUCUCUGACCAGCGCAACAGAUGCGCAGCAGCGGAUGAGAGGAAACCCAAUGGUCGCCCCACUGCCGGGCCCGACGACGGAGCAGUUACGCUUCGCAGAGUCCCACGCCUUUGCCAACGCGGUGCCGUCGGACACAGAGGCCGGCAAGUCACUAAACAGCUCCUCCACUCUCCAGCCACGAGGGCGACGGGGUCACGCGCACGGCGAUACGGCGGGUGCCUCUACCUCGAGGGAGGCUAUUAGUAUCAACAGCGUCAAGAGUAGCAGGAGCACUGGAUGUGGCGGCGGUCGAAGCGCUCAUCCUGAAGCUCCGCAGGCGCUCGGACAGGUCUCUGAGCCGCAGAACACCGCAUCACUCACGUCUCUGCACACAACCUCCCCGCCCGCCACGCCGUCCGCUGCCGCUGGCGCUUCUGAGUCAAGCAUCAUAAAUCACAAGCCCGCACGCAGGCCACGAAUCAACAAGAAGGCCGCUGAGGUUGGUGUUCUGCGGACAGGCCGACGGCUUUCGUGCGCAGCCGCCUCCACGUCUUCCACAACAACCACAUCAACGACUGCGUUCUGUCGCGGACAGAACAUGAUCGCUUCCCUGAUGCCGUCCGCGCAGCAUCGACAGCGGCGGCGUCUUUCCUCUCCGGCAUCCUCAGCCCCGUCACUGACUGCACAGGAUGCAUUUGCCGUGAACCAGCACGAGGUGAAGACAGGCGCCGCGUCUGGCCGCGCUCGGGUGGCGCCGACGACGGCGACGACGACGGCAGUGCCAGCCAGCGAGAGGUCGUGUUCACCAGCUGCGCAUGGCCGCGAAGUGACAGAGGCGCGAAGAGGUGAGAUCGCUGGUAUGUCUGCGGCGUUCACCGAAAUCGCGUCGGCCGCAGCGGGUGCUGGAGAGAAAGGCCUGCAGAGUGCGUGUGUAGAGGGCCGUUCUUUGUUCUCCGCAGAAGAUGGUGACGCCGGCAGAGGAGACAGUGCAUGCACGCGCAGCCCAGCUGCUUCUGCGAACACUUCUGUCGCCGUUGUUGCUGCGACGACUCGCCAGCUGCGCUUUUUGCACGAGUGCCGCGCCAGCAGUACUAACGCCUCCACCGCGUCGUCGGCCCCGCCGGCGUUGCCGACAAGGCUGCGCACGCGUCCGCUGCCCAUGCACUUCAGCAGCCGCUGCCGCCACGGCGCGCACCGAUAUGCAGAUGAAAACGCAGUCGCCUUGGCUCGCGCAGGCGGUGCCAACGACGCGCAGUCACUGUCAUUGCCUUUAGCGCCAAGCGUUUUGUGCGCCUUCGCGCUUCCACACUACCGACACUAUUCUCAAGUGCAGCAAGCAUCAAGCCCGCGCAGCGAGGACGGCAGCCCCAUGCUCUGGCGCGAGAGCCGCUGCGGCUUCUCCAGGGUCGAGCAGGUGUCGGCCAUCACCGCUGAGGAAACACAGGAGCCCUGUGUGACAGACCACCACAUCUCGCGGCAACCGGCCUCCCCAGCCACCGUGGCGGGAGCGUCAUCUUCAGUAGUUACCGGCCGACUUUCUGCGAAGGGUGUGGACGCAGACGCCGCGGCAGCGGCGUGGCGGGUCGACUCUGCGAUGCGCACGUCUCCGCCGGCACCGCUGCACGCCUCUUUUGACGGCUUCGCGCAGUCGUCGGCUGCGGUGCCGCCGCUGUCGGCGUUUUCUGUCGCACAAGCAGCGCCCCGGCCAGCAGCAGCCCAAAGGCGCACGGCUGACUGCUCCAUGGUCAGUGUGCAAGCCAGAAAGGAAGCCUCCACUCAUGGCAAGCCAUGGUUCUCGCCAGCGCUAGAGCGGCAAGCGCGAGCAGCAGCAGCAGCACCGAUCGCCAGGUACGGCGAUGAUGAGUACUGCUUCGGCACCCAAGGCGAGCACGCGGAGCCGCUCAUUCCCGCCGCAAAGUUCUCCUCGAUCGACCCACCACGAGCCAGCGAUGCGCAACCGCAAGUGUCGACGUUGUCGUCCCUCGCGCGGGGUGGUGGCAUCACGGAACGAGGAGCUGGCUCGCCCGUCUUGCCGGACGCGCCGCCAUCGGUGGAGAAGGCACGCGCCGCUAGUGGGCAUCCUUCUUCUUCGCUUGAGCUGGAAGGGAACAGCAGCGCAGUGAUCCGCGCGGCAGCCGUGGCGGCGGAGGCAGAGGGUGGCGUGCCGCAGUCUGCACUGUCAUCGUCGCCGAAACCCCAGAGCGCGACGACGAUGAUUGCUGCCCCUGCAGCAGCCUCCGUGUCGCAGCUCAGUCACACGCCGGCCAUCAUGCUCACAACGUCUCUCUUGGGCUUCUCCUCUCGUAGCCCAACACCUGUCACGAACUCCUGCGCUACCCCGUUCCCGCUGCCGUGGCACCCGCCCCACCCCAUGCUGCCCCUCCAGCAGCUGAGUGCGGAAUCCACAUCCAGUAUCUACGGCGGCCCAGGCAGCGGAGGCGGUGUUGUUGGCGGCGUUGGCAGCAACAUCAACGCGUCAACGACGCGAUCGCCGUUACCGGAGUGGCCACGAUUGCGCACACUUCCGCAGCAGCCAGCAUGUAUGCCUGCAACGCGGACGUCAGGGGAGGGGCACAGGGUAGACAGCUUGAGUCGCAUGAACAUCAGCUGCGGCGGCGGUGGCGUCCCUCCACCGUAUCAGUCCGUACCCUCCCUCCUGUCCCAUUCCGUAUGGAAGAGUAGGGGCCCCGGGCGACCCGAAUCACCGUCUCCUUUGGGGUCGCUCUCAGAGCAGUGCAGUGGCGGUAUUGGUGGUGCUGGAGGUGAUAACCCUGAAGGGGUUGCUGGGGCCGUGGAGCAGCACCAGCAUCAGCCACCAGCCUGUCGUCUCACUGCUUUCAAAGGGCUGGCCUCGGACAGCCACGCGCAGGUUGGCUUCGGCUCCGUGACGGCCGACAGCGAUGGAGCGAUGCUGCAGGCAACGCCGGUGUCGCCACCGCCGCAGUGGCAGCAUCUGAAGAGCCACAGCGGCGAUAUUUUCGCCCCCACCACCACGGCGGCGCGGCCGCCGAUGACUGCGCUCGGCCCUGUGGUGCGGCCGUGGCCCCACCAGCGCACCAGCAGCAACGUCAGUCUCCUCAGUAGCAUCGCACACUCGCCGCUCGCCAGCGGCGUCGGCGGCAGCAACGGCAGUGACACGGCCACCAGCACGCCGCCCCCACUUCACAUGGCGAUAGCAAGCUUGGGUGUGGCCCCAACGCUCUGCACCUUCAGCGCGUCGUCCACCUUCACCGGGUUUGGCCCGGCUCCCUCCUGCAUCCUCGCUGCUGGCCCUCGGAGUGCCUCCAUCAGCGGCAAGGCCUACGUGCACCCCGUGACGACCUCUCCACCGCCCCGGUAUCGCCGUGCCGGAUCGGCGUCGUCGCUAUCCUCGAUGGGCGCCUUUGCCUUCAACGAUGCCGGCACGGCUCCAGUGAUGCACAGUGGAGUGCGGUGCCGCGUGGCGGAGUGCGUGCCGCCGUCCACUGGCAGCAGCACCCCCAGAAAUCGCUUCGGAGGGCGGGUGGACGGCGGGGCCGAGAACGACGCAGACGACGUGGUGCACGGUGACGAGGGCGAGGACUACCUCGAGGACGAAGGCGCCGGCUCCUGCAAGGCCACCCAAGGCGGGAACGGCAGGCGUUGGAGAGUCACCUCCAGUGGCUGCGGGGGUGGUGCGCGCUGCUGUGGGAAGCCUGUGCGGCUGAAGCAUGGGACCGCUAUCGAGACCGCCAUUCAAGCAGGCGCCUACGCACGCCACCCAUCGUGCGUGUACCUCUUUGCCGGCGGCGGUGGCAGUGGCGGUGACGCGAGUGUUGGUUUCAGCCGAGCAGGGGUGACUAGCACCGCCGCGGCAGCAGCGCAGGCGGGCGACGACGGCCGUUGGUCUGGCAGCGAGGACCCGGUGACAUGGCUGUCGUGUGCAGCGAGCUUUACAGCGUCUUCGACGUCGGCAUCGACGACGUAUGCCUCGUCCUCCUUUGGCACCGUUCCCUGCGAUGGCGAGCAUGUGAGGCACGGGAGUUCGCAGCACCAACACCAGCAGCAGCACAGCAGCCGCGAUGGCGGUGACAACAGCCUUUGUGAUCCAUCGGCAGAUGCCGAGGAGAGAGAGGACGGGCUCGCCGUGUGCACCCUCUACGCUGCGGCACCGCGGCACUACCACUACCGCCGCACAGUAGAUGCGCCUGCAUCAUGCGACGCGGUGUUUCUGAGGGGGCGUGAGAAGCGCCACCACCGCUACGUGCGGGUUCACCACCCACGACGCCAGCAUCGCUGUCUCUCGAACUCUCCAGCGACCGGCAGGGACGUGGUAGAAGGAGUGGAACAUGCACAUGCUGCGAGACCUCUCCCAGCCUUCACAACGGAGGUUAACAGCACCGCCGCGCGGCCUAUCCUCAAUCUCGACCCGGCAGCUAAUGAGAACGUGAACGCAGGCGUACAUAACAGGCGCGGUCAGCGGCCUGCGGUGACAGCGUUACCCGGCACAUGCGUCCCGUACAGCCCCCACCUGUCCACCUCUUCCCUGCUCUAUUACGACGAUGUGUGCAGCGAUGACGUGGAUGAUGUCUACUAUCAGAUAGAGAAGCGUCUGUUCCCGGUCGCUGACGAAGCGGGGCAGAGCCUCUGCAGAGCCUCCCGAUCAUCGCCACCACCGCCACAGACACCUGCCGCUGCCCCAUCAGCAUCCCCGACAGGUAACACAAGUGAGGCACCUCACGACGGCUCCGACGAGCCAUCGAUCGACGCGCUCUUCACGGUGCUGAACGUGCCGCUUCGCCUCAACCUGCGCGGUGGCUUUCAUCUCUCCGACUACUAUGCCCCCUGCCCCGUGUGCCACCCAGCCAUGCGAACGGCGGCAGAAGACACGGCCUCAGGCUUGGCUGCAACGGCAAGCAGCUGCAGUUGUUGCUCGUGCCGCUGCUCGUCCGUCUGCUUCCGCUCCACAAGGCGGUCUACCUUGUCGUCUCGAGCGAUGUCGCGGAUGUCGGGUGGCACCUCGCCUGGAUCCACGCAGCUCAUCUUCUCCUCCGACUCUUCCGCCAAGGCCUCGGCGUCUGGGUUUGCCAUGGGACUGCGUCAGACGACGCCGCCGCCACCACCUCCCGUUCCUGCGGCGUUGGCAGGUCGGCAACCAGGAGUAUCAUCAGCAGCCACGGCGACACAGCCAUACGGCGUCGGCGCUGCCACUAGUGCCAGCGACACCUUGAGCUCGCUCCUCCUGCGGCAUGGAGGCGUGGCCAGAACGUGCGAUGCGAAGCGGCGAGAGCGAAAAGCAGCGGCAGCGGGGACAGUCGGAAGUCACAGAACCACCGCUGCAGGUGAGCUGGCGCCCUCCACACUCACCGCACGGUCGAGCCCCUCCUGUGCAAGCGGCACGACCGACAAGCCGCUGUCACCGUCCAAGUUGAUGCGAAGGUUUCCUCCAGCCUCUGCCACUCAAAGGGGCGCCAAGUCCGCAGCCGCACCAGCACCAGCACCAGCACCAGCACCGGCAACAGGCAACGAUAUCGAGGACAAGGUGCGCGACCCCAAGUACGGCAGCAGAGGGACGCGUGGCGGCGGCGAUCCAGGUCGGCUGCCGCCGCCGUUAGUGGUUACUGCAGCGCACCGGCACUCACGCUACCGGCGGCAGCGAGCGCGGCAUCCGCCCGCAGUCGUCACGGCCCGCCGUCGGCAAGCGCAUCAUCGCGGCGGCGGAGUCGGAGACGGAGCGUUGCGCUCGCAGUACAGCCGGUUCAUGCGGCAACGCCUCCUGUGCGUGCGCGUCAACGACAAGAUUACCUACAUCGACCCGAAAGUUGCAACCUGCGCUGCGCGCCUCCUGGCUGGUGCAGCCCUGCUGGCUGAGAAGACGAAGAGGAAGGAGGCGGAGAGGGAACGGCGGCAUCGUGCGGCAGCCGCCGACGGAGACUUAUAGCGCUCCGCCAGCGUCGCGGCUGCCGCAGCAAGCGGCAACCUUUCGCCGCCACAACCGCUUUCGAAACAGUCACCACCACCGUCACCAAUGUCGCCACACUCGUGGCGAGCUCCGCUGCUGCGCUCGGGAUCAGCGGCCGCAGGCUUUGGAACGCCAGCGACAGUCAUCGACGUUCUCGCAUACUGAGGCUGCACCAGGCGCGCGAGGCAGCAACGAGAGGGUCGUCCCCGCUGACGGCGGCGGUUGAAAUCGCAUGGGUGCGCCAGGUGAGUCGUUGACAGCUUUCCACAACGCCCUCGGUGCGCGUCGGGAUGCGGAUGCAAGUACUACGCGAGAGCUGCACACACAAGCACCCGCAGCAGAAGAACCAAGCGAUGCAGCGAGUGCCGGAGCUCAGCGUCGUGCUGGCGUUUGCAUAAUCUUUCAGAAUGGCAGCGGAUGAAGUGGGCACCGCGGACGUGCCUAGGUUGACCAAACAGUAGCGGUGCACCGAGGUGAGAGAAGCAGCAACAGCUCCUCUCUUCGCUCUCGCGCGAUCUCGAGCUGUGCCUCAUUCUCCUUGCUGACGGUGCACCGCGUGCCAUAGUGAUCGAGGCGCUGACGGGCGUGGACAACGACGGCUCCACAGAGAAGACGGAGUUUAUUCCACGAACAGCGGCGCCUGGGUCGCCGAGGAUCCUCGUUCCUCCUUUACAGGUGUUGCCACAGCGAUCCUCGCACCAGAACGCCCUCCCUGGCGGCACCGUUCGAAAGGGUAGGUAGGUGCCGAAGCAGCUAGCCCGUGUUCUCGACUGAGCAGCGGGAAGGAGGCACUGGCAUUCAUGUCCUCCGUCUUUCUCUCUCUGUUUCGCGACCCCUGCCCCGCCCCUUGCAGCUGGUGCUCCACGUGGCUCCGUGCGUUGCCCGCUUUCUCGCGCGAAGAGGACGAGAGAGAGACCAGUAAAGGCGCCAAAGGUGGAGGGAGAGUCGCGGAUGUGCACGUGAGGGCACGGCGGCGGGCGCAGAGAGAAGUGGGCCGGCUGCGUCUGUCGGUUGCUGUUGCUGGUGACAGCGAUGUUUGGCCUUGGCCACCACCACCACCACUACCCUCCCCACUUUUUUCGUUGUCGGUUGCUAAAUCGCCCUCCCUCUUGCACAGACACUCGUAAACGGAAGUGGGAGAGGGAGGGCUGCAUCCACUGUCUGCCCCCGAAGUAGCCCUGCACACGCUCUUCGAAUGUCCUCUCCGGCACGUCUGCCACUCGCAGCACUU
rnacentral:misc_RNA from 1 species